CAGUCACGUCAUAUUGAAACACCAGUUCUCAUACAUUCACUAAAGUUAAGCAAAAUUGAGCCUGGUCAAUACCUAGAUGGGUGACCACUUGGGAAUACCAGUUGC